rnacentral:rRNA from 1 species
CAACGUUAAUCGGGGCAGGGUGAGUCGACCCCUAAGGCGAGGCCGAAAGGCGUAGUCGAUGGGAAACGGGUUAAUAUUCCCGUACUUGGUGUUACUGCGAAGGGGGGACGGAGAAGGCUAUGUUGGCCGGGCGACGGUUGUCCCGGUUUAAGCGUGUAGGUGUGUGUUCCAGGUAAAUCCGGUUCACUUUAACACUGAGGCGUGAUGACGAGGCACUACGGUGCUGAAGCAACAAAUGCCCUGCUUCCAGGAAAAGCCUCUAAGCAUCAGGUAACAUCAAAUCGUACCCCAAACCGACACAGGUGGUCAGGUAGAGAAUACCAAGGCGCUUGAGAGAACUCGGGUGAAGGAACUAGGCAAAAUGGUGCCGUAACUUCGGGAGAAGGCACGCUGACAC